CGUAGGGUGCGAGCGUUAAUCGGAAUUACUCGGGCGUAAAGCGUGCGCAGGCGGUUUAGUAAGACAGGCGUGAAAUCCCCGGGCUCAACCUGGGAACUGCGCUUGUGACUGCUAAGCUAGAGUAUGGCAGAGGGGGGUGGAAUUCCACGUGUAGCAGUGAAAUGCGUAGAGAUGUGGAGGAACACCAAUGGCGAAGGCAGCCCCCUGGGUCGAUACUGACGCUCAUGCACGAAAGCGUGGGUAGCAAACAGGAUUAGAUACCCUGGUAGUCCACGCCCUAAACGAUGUCAACUAGGUGUUGGGAGGGUAAAACCUUUUAGUACCGGAGCUAACGCGUGAAGUUGACCGCCUGGGGAGUACGGCCGCAAGGUUA
rnacentral:rRNA from 1 species